rnacentral:tmRNA from 1 species
CCCCUAGCAACGCUCCCAGGGUUCGCCUAUAUCGGUAUGGCUGGUCCUUUGGACCAUCUAUGGUGAUAAACGAACGUUGGAAUAAGCGUUGUGGACCCGGGGGCAGUGCCCGGCGCCUCCACCAACUUCUACAGUUGGGUGCGGGGGCGACACAGGCUCGACACGCGUGGUAAAGACCGUUCUUUUGCUCGGCAUGAUACCGCCGUUAUCGGGUCAUAUCACAAGUGCCAAUGACAAUCAUCAGGCGCUCGCGAUCGCUGCGUAAGCAGUGACACGCGCGGUUCGGGGGGUACCGGGCAACAGAAACCCCCCACU